rnacentral:lncRNA from 1 species
UUUUUUUUUUUUUUUUUUUUUUGCUUUUUAGGGCUACUCAUGUGGCAUAUGGAAGUUUCAGGGCUAGGCAUCGAAGCAGAGCUGCAGAUGCCAGCCACAGCCACAGCCAUAGCAAUGCAGGAUCCAAGCCACAUCUGUGACCUACACCACAGCUCAUGGCAAUGCCAGAUCCUUAACCCUCUGAGCGAGGCCAGGGAUCAAACCUGCGUCCUCACCUCCUUCCAUAUGCUGCAGGUGUGGCCCUAAAAAAAGAAAGAAAAUAAUGAGAAGCUACGUGGAGUCAGGCUGAGGGAGAGGCCAGCAAGUGCCAGUUGUUAGAAGGUCAGGGGAAAAGUGAAGUUCAAGACAAAAAGUGAUGCUGAGCUCAUCUGCGCCUCAGUCAGCUCCGGCAGCUUCUCCUAGAAGGUGCAACAGAGUCAUUCUCUUCUGAAAGCACACUGACAUGUGUUCGGGGUGGAGAGUGGUUUAGAAUAUUCAGGAGUUCCUGUUGUGGCUCAUCAGUAACGAAUCCGACUAGUAGCCAUGAGGAUGUGGGUUCGAUCCUUGGUCUCGCUCAGUGGGUUAAGGAUCUGGCAUUGCUGUGAGCUGUGACAUAGGCCAGUAGCUGCAGCUCCAAUUCCACCCCUAGCCUGGGAACCUCCAUAUGCCUUGGGUGUGGCCCUAAAAAGCAAAAAAAAAAAAAAAAAAAAAAAAAUGUUGAGCAUUAUGUUUUAAUAACUGUAAUAGAGUUUUAUUUUCUUCCUAAGUCUUCCAGAGGACACUUUUGGGGGUGCAAAGACCCCACUAGUGCACCAAACUUAGCUUGUGUCCUCUGCCGUCAUCUGGCAGGUCAGCCUGAUUCCCACAUUCAGAGACUCCCUCCUCCCAGAAAUACUCCCUUCCUGCCACGCCCAAGUCCACGACACCCGUCUCCCUGCUCCUUCUCCCUCUCUGCCUGCCUCUGUCUCUGUGGACGUAGCCUCUUCCCCUGGCUGUUCCAUGUUGGCGAUGCUCACGCCCAGUCCUGGGCUCGCCUUACAUCUGUUCUAUAUUCUCGUCUCAGAGGCUGGAGGCUAAGCCCAAUGCCUGUCAGCACUUCUCUGCUUUCGUGACUUUUGUACCAGGACUGGGCUUGAAUGUAGAUGAGAGGAAACUCCAAGUAUCCGGAGCCUGAAUACUAGAAAAGAGCACUUCUUGUCAGGGAACUGGCCUGCCUGUCACUCUGCCAGUCUCAACAGAGGACUUUUUACCUCAUGGUCCAAGAUGACUUCCUGGGCUCCAGCCAUCACAACCACAUUUCUGUUAGCAGGAAGGAAGAGGUCAGCGGGAAGGACACAGCCUUUCCUUUAGGGGUACUUCACAGAAGUCAUACAUGACACGGCUUACACUUCAUGGGUUAAAAUUCAGUCAGGUGGCCACUCUAGCUCAAGGGAGGUUUGGAAACGUAUGGCGGCCCCUAAAAAUCAGAUGUUCUUCUAAAACGACACAAGGGGUUAGUGGAUGGAGAGCAGGGCACGACUAGUCUUUGCUGCAUCUCCCGGAUACAUACCUUCAGGCCAGGCUUCUCCGUAGCUCCUGCCGCUUUGGUACCCAAGACAUCUCAGAAUCAAAUAUCCAAGGCUGAACGCAUGAGCUCUCCCUAACCUGUGCCACUGCCCUUACUUCCUUCCCCUGGUAAAGGGCACAGCCACCAGUGCAGCCGGCAACUAGGGGCCAUGCCUGGCUCUUAAAACAGAGAGCAUCGUCUGUUUGCAGUUCAUCCUUGCUUCCCCGGGGCAGAGUCCAAUCCCCUGCCCCCUGCCUUUGGGUUUGGCCACUUGUCAUCCUUGGGCUGAUGGUAAAUGAACAGACGCUUGUUCGGCCUUGGCUGGCCGGGGGCUUGAAGGGCACCUGUAUGUUUUUGAUUGGUCUCUUGUCCUUCCACCAUCUGCCAUGGAACCCAGAUAACUGCAGGUUCUAGAAGGAGAGACCUAUGGAUCACCUACGAGCUGAAGCAGAUGUGCCCCAAGCCACCCGCAGACCUGUAACGAGAAAAGUAAGGGGUGGCUGUAACCCUUGAGAAUUUGGGGUUGUUUGUUAUGCAGCAUCACAGUGGAAGCCACUGUAACUGUUGUUUCAUUACAGCAGAAACCUAAUUAGUCUAAUUGUCUUGUACUUCCGUUCCUGCUGCUGCAUUUAGUCCUGUCAGUUUAUCUCAGUAGUAUCUCUGGAAUCUAAUCACAUCUCCAUCUCCAGGGCUGCCGUUAUCUUAGCCCAAGCUGUGGCCACUUUUUGCCUGGACCACUGCAAAACCUCCGGCCUGGGCUCACACCUCUGUUCUGGCCCCUUGGUUCACAGCUCCCCACCCCGCACGCUCCCCCUCCCUCCCCAUUCGGUCCAGGAUGUGAUGGACUCACUUGGGAUAAACUUGAUGCCCCGGAUCUCUUUGGGCCUUUGCUGCCCGGUUCACUGGAUGCUUGGCUCUUGCAUAUCCCUAGAGCUUUGGCUCUCACAGCUCUUAUCUCCGGGCUGGAAGUCAACGGCCAAACCUUGACCCCUGUCUUUGUCUUUGUCAUCCAGGAAAGCGCAGUCCUCAUCCUCUCCGGGCAGAGCCGUGCUGGUUCAGGAGAAAAAAAAAAAAAAAAGCACAGUUAGACAUGAAUCUAUCUGAAAAAUAUCUUGAUGCAUGGUAACGCCACCGUCCCUGUCCCCUGAAAACUCUUCAAUAGCUUCCUGCUGAUCAUAAAGAGCCAAGUCUUCAACAUGGCCCCCAAUGGUCUGGCUUUGACCUUGGCUCUGCUGCUGAACUCCAGCCCCUGCAGCUGCAGUCUGGACCUUGGAGGACUGUGCCCCGUCUCCCAGGCAGGCUUCCCUCCUCUGAGGAGCCCCUCUUGACCCACCCAGUCUCUGUGAUAAACACCCUCAGCCUUACUCCUUUGAUCUGAUCCAUUUCUUUCACUUGUGGGUUAUUUAGCUACCAUCUCGCUCUCCCUGAGUCUAUAAGCUGCAUGAGAACUGAUGUAUCAAUUGCCCUCGGUGAAUGAAUGAAUGAAUGGGACAGAUGGAUAAACGGGUGGGUGCAGGGAUGAGUUACUGGUUAAAGGCAAUCUUGCAACACUAGGUCCUAAUCCACUUGGGUCCAUCAGAGUGAUGGAGGGGCAGACACAGCCGAUGAAUGGUUGGAGUGUACAGCUGCCCAUUUGGGAGGAUUUGAAAUGGAAAAACGAAGUCCUCCUAAAUCACCCGCUUCCGCCCUCUGGAAAUGCUACCACUUAGUGUUAUUCCUCUGUGCUGGUCCUCGAGAAUCUUAGACUGAAAUUCCAACAAUUCUAAGAGAGUUCAGGCACGCAAGCUGUACUUCAGGCUGUGGAAGGCACAGCUGAGCCCUGGAGAUGGGAGGCAGGGAGGAUGGGGAGCAGGACACGUGGGGAGGGAGCUGCAGGGAGGAGGACCCUGGGAGGGAGUCAGGUGCUCCACUCCGGGGUGUCUGCAGCUUCACAGACUUGCCAACAUCCCAUCCCUUUACUUUUAUGCUUCUUGAUCCAGCAACAAGUCAUUUCACUGUUUGGGGUUCUCCCCCCAGGGGACAAGGACACAAACACAAAUGGGGGAACUUCUUUAAAGGCAACUGGAAACACAUGGACACAGAGAUGGGUGGUUCAGCAUCUGAACAGAUCCUCUUGGAAAACUCACUCAUUCAUCCAUUCACUCAUUAAGGAAGUGCUACUGUCGGCCACGUGACUGGCCCUCGGCACUGGAAACUCAGACGGAACCAUGUUCUUACCUCUAUAGAAUAGCUGUUAUUUCCCACACGGGCUUUUGGAGAAAAAGACAGGCAUUCUUCUGGGUCCACCCAGACGCCCCUGGCUCGUGACUGCCUGGAAGCAGAGGGGGGUGGGGAUCUGGGGAAAGUUGGGACGAUAGGGAGAGGAAGCAGUAUUCUCCUUCCCCAUCGUUCUAAAGCUUUGGUGCCAGGACACGGGAAGAGGAGGGGAGAGAGGGAUGGGGUUAGACCCUGGACUCUAGGAAGUGGCAUCACUGUGGUUUGAGUCACUCUGAUGGCCUGAUGCCGGCCUGGAGCACUGAAGCUUUGCUGCCGAGAGAGAAAAGGUGCCUGACCUGCAAAGGAGAGGUGAACGUGCUGGUGAUAUGAAAAUCAGUAAAUCAGCUGCAUCUUGUCUCAUUUCACUUAUUUUUCUUUUGUUUCCGAUAUUCAAUCUCUCCCCUUCCUCAGGUAUGGAAGAGCUGGAACCCGCAUACUCUGGCAUCCUACCCCAACGACGUUCCUUCUAUUUCUUUUCUUACUUUUCUUACACAUUCCUUCCCCCCAGGCCAUUCCAGGGGGCAUGGACAAAAAUAAAGCCAUUCUGCGAUUUCAGUAAAAGCCAUGUCAUCCCUUCCUAAAGCACCGCGCUGCUUUGAAAAAUCAAUAUUCCUCUGCUGGCCAUUUCCCAUAAUGCAGUUUGUUCAACAAACAAAAUUUGAGAAAGCAAAACUUUGUGAGAACAAUUUCAUUCCUCUAAGUUCUCCUUAAUUUCCUACCCUGCAAGGUUUCUAAGACUCUCUCCUCAUUGGUGGCUAAGGAAGGAAGUCCAGAAAAGCUGGCCUUUGAGUUCCCGUCAUGGCGCAGCAGAAACAAAUCUGAAUAGGAACCAUGAGGUUGAGGGUUCGACCCCUGGCCUCACUCAGUGGCUUAGGGAUUCUGCGUGGCUGUGGCUGUGGUGUAGGCCGGCAGCUACAGCUCCCACUGGACCCCUAGCCAGGGAAGCUCCACAUGCCAUGGGUGCAGCCCUAAAAAGAACAACAACAAAGUAGCUACUUAAAACAAUGAGACAAUAGAGUUUGUUCUUCUUCCCUCUUUGAGACCAGCUUCCGUGAGAAGUAACUAGAAAGAGCACUUGGCAGAGUCGGGGGAGGAGGCUGAGGGGGGGCGGAAUGGGAGGUGAACAGAGCCCAUUCUCAGGUGGAAGCGAGGGUCCAGGGCCACACAGAAUCACAGUCAUGAAGAGACCCUGACGGUAGCCCCAGGUGGAAUGUACAACACCCCAGCCAGGUGGGGGGACCCCAGGUGCACGCGCUUAGUGACACAGCAGCAGAGAGGGCGGGGGAAGCUUCGCCAGCAGUAAAGCACCCGCACCAGGGAAAGACCGGAGCAUGAAAGCCAAGAGAGAAGAUGCCACGUGCAGGGCAUGGAUGGAGAGAACGCGACCUGGCACCGUGACCCUGAAGCAGAGGGUGGAGAAGAGGACCAGAAGGUGGACUCGGAGACGUACACGAGAAACACCCCGAACGGAACUGACUCUGCAGGCGCAGCGCACAUGCCACGUUCUUGUAGAUUUUGACAUGCAGGGCUCUGUGCCAAGGCAGAUCCUGGAGAAGCUGUCGAACUUGAGGCCUAAAGAAUGCUCCAGGCACCCAGGAAAACACAAAUCAACUACCAAAGACACAAAUGAGACUGACCUCAGAAUUCUUCACAGCAAUCAGAGCCUUAAGAUAUCAGAGCAGGAGUUCCCCGGGGGUUCAGAUGGUCAAGGACCUGGCAUUGUCUCUGUUGUGGCCUGGAUUCAGUCCCUGGCCUGGGAACUUCCACAUGUCAUGGGUGUGACCAAAACAAAACGGCAACAAAAACAUCAAGGGUCACGUCUACCACGUUCUGAAAGAAGUGCAACCUAAGACAAUUACAGCCCAGAGAGGUGUCAGUCAAACGUAAAGGCAGCAGACAGACAUCUUCAGGCAGUACCAUGGGUCUCGCUAAAAGGAUAUUUUACAGGGAAAACUUUCCCACUGAUAGAUGACUUAAUUUAAAAACAAACACCAUCAGGAAUAGGAAGCUUUGAUGAAAGACUGACAGGUGGAUACAAAAUCCACUUAAAUAUGGAGUUGAAGCUGAAUAAUCACAGGACAAUUAUAGAACAAUGUACAUGUUGGCAAUCUCGAAGAUACUCAAAAAUAUAACCCCAAAAAUUCAGAGGGGCUCAAAUGGAAGUAUUACCUUUUUCAUGUUUCAGAGAUGGGAACUGAUCAGUAUUGUCUCAAAUUGAUACAGAAAAUUCUAAAAAGAAACUUUUUUCCCUCAUAAUCACUUUCUUUAAUCCUAGAGGAUUUUUAGGAAACCACACUAUCCUGGUGGAGAAAUGUCCAAACGACAGCAAUUCUGAGUCUCAUUUCAAUUUCUUUUGCUGAAUUCGACUAAAAUUAAAAAGUUUCUAUGCUAUCAUCCCAAGUUUAUAAAAGCAAUUCCACUUAUGAACCGUCUCUGCAAUUGAUAUCAACGGAAAAUACUCAGAUCAUGCUCUUGUUUAUGCGUGAUGGGCUUGGGAGAAUAGAAGACAUCUCUUCACCUUCAGGACUGUCUUUAUAACAAGCAUUUUUAAAACACAACAACGACGAAGGGAUUGUUAAUUUAUUACAGAGGAAAGGCUGGAGGGAGGACGCCGAGUUCCUUCUGGGGGAUGUGAAUGUGGAUGCACCUGUCUUCGGGGAAAAGUCUAGAUUCAGAAUGUUGGCGGGGCUUCCCAGUUUCCUCAAACCUGGUACUUUUCCAGCCUCAGCUUUCAUAUUCCCUCUCCUUCCAAGUCCUGUACUCUGAGCUGCAGCCACUCAGAGCUCCUUGCGAUUUCCUGACCACGCAGCCCUCUCUCAUUUCCAGACCUUUGCAUUUCUGUUUGCUCUGCUCCCAUCAGCGUCCUGCCCUUCCUCUCUGACCCUCUGCCACAUGCUCCUUUUCCUGGGUAAGGUCUACUCAGUUUUGGAAAAAAAAAUUUUUUUCUUUUACUUUUGUUAUAUAUGUAGUACAUAUACAACAUAGAAAUGACCACUUUAGCGAUUUUUAAAUGUGUAAGUUGGGGCAUCAAGAACAUUCCUAGUGUCGUGCAACCAUCACCGCUAUCCAUCUCAUCAUCCUAAACCGAAACUCUGUCCAAGUUAAACAUGAGCUCCCCAUUCCCGGCUUCCUGCAGCCCCAUGUCAACUCUG